CGAGGCCACAGCAGAGGGUGUCAGGAGCCAGAGCUCAGCCUUCGUCUUUCCAGGUUCCAACCACGACUUCACGAGGCUGCUGUGUGAGAAAAAUAUGGGAGUUAAUCCCUGUGAGAAGGGAACGACAUGCUGAGGUGAUGAUCUCCCAGACAGGAAGGAAGUCUGAUGCAGUGGCCUCCUCAGCGCGACCUACAUCAGCCCCGGGAG
rnacentral:lncRNA from 1 species